AUUGAACGCUGGCGGCAUGCUUUACACAUGCAAGUCGAACGGUAACAGGCCUUCGGGUGCUGACGAGUGGCGAACGGGUGAGUAGUGCAUCGGAACGUACCCAGAGGUGGGGGAUAACGCAGCGAAAGCUGUGCUAAUACCGCAUGUGAUCUGAGGAUGAAAGCGGGGGACCGAGCAGCAAUGUUUGGCCUCGCGCCUUUGGAGCGGCCGAUGUCGGAUUAGCUAGUUGGUGGGGUAAAGGCCUACCAAGGCGACGAUCCGUAGCUGGUCUGAGAGGACGACCAGCCACACUGGGACUGAGACACGGCCCAGACUCCUACGGGAGGCAGCAGUGGGGAAUUUUGGACAAUGGGCGCAAGCCUGAUCCAGCAAUGCCGCGUGCGGGAAGAAGGCCUUCGGGUUGUAAACCGCUUUUGGCAGGAACGAAACGGUGUCCGCUAAUACCGGGCGCUAAUGACGGUACCUGCAGAAUAAGCACCGGCUAACUACGUG
rnacentral:rRNA from 1 species